UACAAGAACCGACGUAGUGGACAUCGCAGUUGCCCGUACCGGAUCGGGGGAUUGCGGAGUUGCAAGUAGAGCAGGGGAGCCCGGGCGUUCUCGGCUUCGGGUUUCGCCACGUGUGGAGCUGGAACGAUAGUGAUACCUCGUGCUAUAUCUGUCAAAGGCAAGAAGAAGGGAUUUAUUUGAGGCCCUACGACGUGGAGACUAUUGCAGGAACCCUGAUGAGAGGUGAUGGCCAAUGAUGAUGGCAAUGAGACAGAGAUAAGUGGAUCCAAGAAUAUUUAGGAUAUGAAUUGGCAUAACUUGAAUGAAGGAAGGAAGCCCAAUUCUGGGAAGAUGGUGGCAUAGGAGGACUCUGAACUCACCUUCUCCCACAGACACAACAAAUCUACAACCACCUGUGGAACAAUUUCCUCUGAGAGAGAUCUGGAAACUGGAUUAAAAGAACUCCCACAACAAGGGACAACACUGACAGGGGUGGAGGAGGCAGGAAGACCAUCAUUUAACCCUUGAUAAGGUGUGCCUGCAUCAGGCCCCACUUGUUACCCUAGUGCACAUUCAUCUGCUCAUCUAGGGAUAUGGUUCCUCAAGUGUAGGGUCCACGCCUUCUCCUUUAUUUCUCUCCCCAAACCUCAGGUCUUGGGCAAGCCCCACACUUUUGCUGGGUCUUGGUUUCCAUGUCGGUAAAGUGAGGAGGCUGAGCUAGAAGUUUAAACUGAGUCACAUUCCCACCAGCGUCCAGCACAGAGCCCGGCCCGCAGUUUCCAUCACCCUCCCCAUGGACGACUCCCAGCUCCAACACUAGAGGCCUCCAGGACUCCAGCUGACAUGAUGGAGUGUGUACCCUGCACGUUGCAGCCUCUUCCCAGGCUGGCUGCGGAAACGGAGCCUUCUCCAGGCAGCAGGGCUGCUCCGCUCAUGCAGAUCAAGUUGGGAGCCUCAUUAGUCACGUCAGAUGACAUAGUUAACACUUGGGGCAGGUACAGCCAGUUCAUCAAAAGCUCCUAUGUGCCUGGCUCCAUCACUGCAGCUGAGGAACUACUGUAUGUGGAGCAGGCAGCACAUCAGAGGAGCAGCGCCAGAGCACUUCCAAAUUGGUUUUGAUUAAUUGCAUAGACAUGUCUUUAAUUGGUGCCAGGGUAGCGGCCAGAGAACUUAUGGGAAAGCAGGAUGUUAUGCUUUCAUUCCCUGAAGUCCCAUAAAGCAAUGAAAGAUGAGGAACAGAAUCACUGCUCGUUGAAAAUUUAUCGACCAUGCAGACCUAGAAAAUACAAAUAACUAUCUGAAUUGAAACCUAACCUCAUUUUCCCAACUCAUUGGAAGGCAUGCAUGUUCCCCUCUGUGCCCCUGCCUGCCUGCUGAGAUGUACAACUGAGCAAAAGGUGUGAUUUCUAAGAAACAAGUGCUUUAGCCUGGAGACGGCACACUCAGCUUCCCCCAGAAGGGCGCGGAGGACUCUGGGAAGGCCUCUCCCCUCAGAAACAUUUCUCCCUCUGACCCCCAUCCUAUGAACUGGUAUCAGAGGCUGAUUCACUUCGGGUGAAGCAUUCAUUCACACAUUUAUUCUUUCUUUUCCACCCGUUGGAGACUUAAGACACAUGUAUUGAGUGUGUACACAUACAAAGCACUGUUCUGGUGUCAUGGGGAGUACAGGUGGAGUCAAGUGCAGACCCUUCUCUCAGGGAAAUGGCUAUCUAGGAGAAAAGAGGGGACAGGUCCACAGAUGAACUAAUGCAUGACAGGUGGCACUACAUGGAAGAUGCAUUGGGAUUUGGCAUCAAGAGGACUUGGGUUCAAAUCUUAGCUCUGAUUCUUAUUACUGAGCCACCUUGGAAGUCAUUUGGAUUCUCUAAGUUUUAACUACAGAACAGGAUGAUAAUACCUACUGCACAUGUCAGUGUGAGGCUUAUAAGAGUCAGCAGAGUUGAAAGGACCCAGCACAGGGACUGCCACUGAUCAAUAAACGGUUGCUAAUUCUGGAUAAGUGUCCCCAGGGAAGUUCUGAUGGAGUGCUAUGUGAGAGUUCACAUAUUCAAGGAACAAAUGUUUACUGAUUGCAGCCCCGGUGCCCGGCUCUGUGCUGCAUAUUAGUGAUUUAGCUAGGAAGCCCUGCCCUUGAUGAGACUGAGGUCCACGAGGCAGCAGCAAUGCUGUAGUAUGGUAAGAAUGGCAAAUUGUUACAGAUGUGCAAUAGAAAUCUACUCAGAGUCAAUGGGCAGGAAAGGAGACAGCGGUCACGUCUACCUGGGGAAAUCAGGAGAGACUGGCCUGAAGAGGCGAUGUUUGAGCCAGGUCCUAAAAGAUGAGGUUUUUGUUUGCAGAUAAAGCAAGAAAGGGUAUUCCAUGCUCAAUGCCAGAGUUUCCUUCUUUUUGUUCCUAGAGCAAGCAAAGGUUAUCCCCUGGGAUCUUGGAAUCUGCUCUCUUUGUAUGGAAAGUUCUUCCCCUUCCCCAAGAGGCUGACUCCUUCUUGACAUUUAUAACCUGACUUUCUUAUUUGUUCUUUUGUUUUUUGUAUGUCUCCCCCACUAGAAUGACAGGUUCAUGAGAACAUGAGACCUGGGCUGUCUUUUUCUCCACUCUAUUACAACCUCUAGGACAUUGCAUGGCAUAGUGUAAGUAUUCAAUAUGUGUUCGUUACAUGAAUAAAUAAAUAAACAACAGGAGGCACAUGAGGGAAUACUGCAAUCAAGGAACUAUAAGCAUGGUACCUGGUGCACAGCGGGCAUUGAAUUUUUUUCUCAUAAAAUUGAACAAUGAGGAAUGCCUGAAGCACUGGCCAGAGGAAUUGAGGUGGGAGGUAAUGGAAGAGGGGGCCUCUGGGCUGCAUCUGAAGGCAGAGAAGGAAGACAAUGUGAUGGGGAUGUUGGGGAGGGGAUCGGAAGGAUUAAGUCAGAUAACUGUUAAAUUCCUUCCAAUGCUGAGCUUCUAAGGAUUUCUCUCAAACAAAUUAUCUCUUGCCAUGCUUCCUGGUCCCCUCACUCACAUCCCUCCUUUCCACUCCACCCUGUCUGGAGGCUGUAAGGACCUCUGACACACCAUUUCCUGCCAACGUAAAUCAUGGACUGAUGUGUGACGCUCGUUCCCAGUUUUUACCAUCCCCCAGGAGGAGAUGGCCCCGUAACUCAGGGUGGAGGCCCCAAGCACAGCCAGCCUUUCCACAGGGUGGCAAAUAAGGGGGAAUUGUUUACCCACCAGCCCCUUUCUGGCCCUGCUCCCAGAUCAUUUUAUGUCCUCUGGUCCUGGAUCUGCUCCUUAGUUGGAUGCACCCCAGUUCACUUGCUGGAGCACUGAUGUGUGACUGUUUAACUGCCGCUGCUUCCUGUCCCAGGGAUCCUGGGCUUCAGGGAGCACGGAAAUGAGACAAGAAAGAGAGCUUUAUAUGAGGUAAGCUCUGACAGUAAUAACAAAGGCCAAAAACUAACUUACACUUACACAGUGCUUAACAAUUUACAAAGCCCUAGAGAACUCCUAUUCAUCCUUCAAGACCCUGCACAAAUGUUACCUCUUUUCAUGAACCCUCAGCUCUCUCAGGCAGAGCUAAUCCUUCCCUCCACACUUUGUAAAACCUCCAUUAUAGCCCUUAUUACCUUGUAAUAAAUUUGUUUGUAUAUGUGUCUCAUUUCCUCCAUGAAACCAUCAGCCCCUUGGGGGCAGAUCUCUUCUCUUCCAGUAAAACUCAUU